rnacentral:rRNA from 1 species
CCUACGGGUGGCAGCAGUCGAGAAUCUUUCACAAUGGGGGAAACCCUGAUGGUGCGACGCCGCGUGGGGGAAGGAAGGUCUUCGGAUUGUAAACUCUUGUAACGUGGGAGAAAAGUAACAAGAUAGGACCACAAGAGGAAGAGACGGCGAACUCUGUGACAGCAGCUGCGGUAAUAAAGAGGUCUCAAGCGUUGUUCGGAAUCACUGGGCGUAAGGCGUGCGUAGGCUGUUUCGUAAUUCGUGUGUGAAAGGCAGGGGAUUAACCAGCGGAAGGCAAAUGAUACUGCUAGACUAGAGUAAUGGAGGGGUAAGUGGAAUUCUCGGUGUAGCAGUGAAAUGCGUAGAUA